AUGUUAGGAGGAGAUCCAGAGACGAUUCCUGGGGCGGUGCAGGUCAGAGUCGCUGGUUCUCCCUCUGUCAGAGGAGGAGUCAACACUGAGGGCUUCUGGGUUAGAGCUGGAGACAGGAAAUACAAACACAGAAGGCAGCCACAACUACCACCACCACCAACAGCAUCACCCUGAACCAUCGCCUUCAGUCCAGCAAAGAUAACAGGAGAGAAGGGACUAUGUGCUGUAAUUUCAUGCACCUUCAAUCAUGCAGAGAACUUCAAAACUACUGCAGCAAUAUGGUUAAAAUGUCCUAAAAAUGGCAAAUGUGAUCAGGAUGAAAAUAUAAUUAUCCACCCUGAAACUCCCUCUGAAGCUCAGGAGGGUUAUAAACACAGAGUGUCUCUACUGGAGACCGAUUUGACAAAGAAGAACUGUAGUGUGAUCAUCAACGACAUCAGAGAGAAUGACACUGGAGAGUAUCAAUUCAGACUGCUAAGUGCAUAUACAUACCCCAAGAAAGUGAAAAUCACAGUGAAAGGUACUUCAUUGCUAUUAUUACCAGUUACAGUGACAGACUAUUACUGUAGCUCAUUGUAUACAGUUCACCACUUGCCAAGUUCCAGCUCAACAUAUAUCUGAAAGAAAAUGGAUGUAGCAACUACAGAUUUCCCUUUUAAGUCUAUCAAAAGUGUGGAAGUUUGAGCAUGUGUCCAUUUUUUAAAAAUCAGCAUGAAUUAGAUUGAGCAAUAAAAGCCCACUUUUAUUC